AUUGAACGCUGGCGGCAGGCUUAACACAUGCAAGUCGAGCGGGGUGAUGGUGCUUGCACUAUCACUUAGCGGCGGACGGGUGAGUAAUGCUUAGGAAUCUGCCUAUUAGUGGGGGACAACAUCUCGAAAGGGAUGCUAAUACCGCAUACGUCCUACGGGAGAAAGCAGGGGAUCACUUGUGACCUUGCGCUAAUAGAUGAGCCUAAGUCGGAUUAGCUAGUUGGUGGGGUAAAGGCCUACCAAGGCGACGAUCCGUAGCGGGUCUGAGAGGAUGAUCCGCCACACUGGGACUGAGACACGGCCCAGACUCCUACGGGAGGUAGCAGUGGGGAAUAUUGGACAAUGGGGGGAACCCUGAUCCAGCCAUGCCGCGUGUGUGAAGAAGGCCUUAUGGUUGUAAAGCACUUUAAGCGAGGAGGAGGCUCUUUUGGUUAAUACCCAAGAUGAGUGGACGUUACUCGCAGAAUAAGCACCGGCUAACUCUGUGCCAGCAGCCGCAGUAA
rnacentral:rRNA from 1 species